CUGUGAAACAACCACCUUCUCCAUUCGACUGCUGAGGGACACUGGGCUAUUUCUGGCUCAGACUGUGAUGAAUGGUGCUCUGUGAAGGUUCCUGGACACGUGUUUUUAGAACAUAUACAGCAGUAUCCGUGGGGCACAUUCCCAGGAGAGGACUUCUCGUCAGAUGCACGCAUGUUCCACUUUAUCAGAGGGGCCACUUCUCCAAAGAGACUGUGCAAUUUAUGCUCCCACCAGCAGCAUGGGGGUGCUCCAUCCGGUUCUUAUCCCUUCCGAGAGCUGGUGUUGUCCGAUGGGUGCUUUUGAGCCGAUUCUGGGAGGGACAAUUGACAUGUUCAUGAUAUUGAACCUUCGGAUCAAGAAUCUUCAGAGUCUUCAUGUUCCCUGCUGUGGUGCCCACCUGCCCAGGAAGAAAGACAGACACCUGUGGUGCAGGGCCCAGACUUGAGGAAUCUGCUACCACUUCUUGGAACUCAGACACAGUCCUAAGCCUGCUCCACCUGCUCCACCCCAGGACCUUUGCUGGAGUUGCCCUCAGUCCUGGACGCUCUCUCCUCCCUGCGCCCCCCCACAGCCCACUCCUCCACAGCCCAUGAGCCCUCCCCUGGUCCCUGCAACCCACACCUGUGCUGGUUGCACCAUGGCCACUCUCCUGCUGCCCACAUCUGUGCUCCAAAAUCCCCCAGGCACCUGGCAUGCCUGUCUCUUUGGGGACACUGGUUUGAGCCUGCCCCUACCAGAGGGCACAGAGCCUCUGGGACCCUGGCGGAGGGACAAACAGGGCUGAGCAGAGCUCCACGUGGGCAGUGGGCGCUGCCCUCAGAGCACCUGCGGGUGUCUGUGCAGAAGGGCCUGGGAGGAGGAAACAAUACAACUCUAAUAGAGGGGACGCUGCAGGGCCUAUGGCGACGCAGCCAUGAGACCAAGGUAAGGCCCCAAGUGAAACAAAUGAGCAAAAAGAGUUCUACAGCUACCAGGUGAGCAGUCACAUGUGUUUCUUAGUAGUUGUGUCUCCUACUGAUUGCAUCCUAUAGUCCCCAAAGGUGGGGAGUGGGGCGGGAGAGAGGUAGGCCAACUCAGGCCACAGGUGGGCUGGCACCCGCCCUGCCCCAGCCCCUCCCUCCCGGGAGCCGCAGACAGGCCCCCAGGGCCGUGCAUCAGGCCACACCUGCAGAGACCUGCUUCCCCUGGCAGCAGGCGCCUCCCCUGACGGAAGACUUAGGAAUGGGUUGGGUUGGGUGGAAGUGGCGCCCCAGGGCAGGUGACAUGGAAGAGGUGAAAGAGACCUGCACUGCAGGGUUAAUGGACAGGGCGCCAGACAGGCCAGGAGCCUAGAGAGGAGAUGCCACCAGGACCCAGGACACAUGAACACCCCCAACACACACACACACACAUACUGACACACAUGCACACACUGUACAUAGUUACAGAAACACACAU